UCCCUGGUGGUCCAGAGUCUAAGAUUCAGCGCUCCCAAUGCAGGGGCCCAGGUUCAAUCCUUGGUCAGGGAA
rnacentral:tRNA from 1 species